GCACCCAUAGCUCAACGGAUAGAGCACCUGGCUUCGGACCAGACGGUUGGGGGUUCGAAUCCCUCUGGGUGCGCCA
rnacentral:tRNA from 1 species